GGGGACUGAUGGGUGCUAAUGAGUGUUAAUGGGAGCGAAUGGAGGCUAAUUAGUACCAAUGGCUGCUAAUUGGGGCCUAUAGGUGCUAAUGGGUGCUCAUGGUUGCCAAUGGGCGCUAAUGGUUGCCAAUGGGCGCUAAUGGGUGCUAAUGAGUGUCAAUGGGGACUAAUGGGUGCUAAUGAGUGUUAAUGGGAGCUAAUGAAGGCUAAUUAGUACCAAUGGCUGCUAAUUGGGGCCUAUAGGUGCUACUGGUGCUAAUGGUUGCCAAUGGGCGCUAAUGGUUGCCAAUGGGCGCUAAUGGUGGCUAACGGGUGUCAAUGGGGACUAAUGGGUGCUAAUGAGUGU